rnacentral:rRNA from 1 species
UCCUAACAGACCGAGAGAUUUGAAC